CAGGUCCUUAGCUGACCUGCUGGAUUUUCCUAGUAGUUUGUUGGUGGUGCUAGUCAAGAAUAUUCUGCUGUCUCCAGUUACUUGUGGCCCUGUGGGAAAUUUACAUGGUGGAGUGUUUGCCCUCACAGGGCACAUAAAAGGUCUGAAAAAGUGUGGUAAUAUCCAAACGCUAAUAUUGCAGCCCUUUGACCUCAGAUGUGUACGGCUGAAAAUUCAGAUCCCACCUGCACCCAGUGAACAUGCGACUUGAAAGAAGGCAAAUGAAUGAAGCCUUCCAUGCUCUGGAGCUCCAGCAGAGAGGUGCUGUAGAUCACCUGGGAAAAUCCC